AACGAACGCUGGCGGCAUGCCUAACACAUGCAAGUCGAACGAAGUCUUCGGACUUAGUGGCGCACGGGUGCGUAACGCGUGGGAAUCUGCCUUUGGGUUCGGAAUAACAGUGAGAAAUUACUGCUAAUACCGGAUGAUGUCUUCGGACCAAAGAUUUAUCGCCCAAAGAUGAGCCCGCGUAAGAUUAGCUAGUUGGUGAGGUAAAGGCUCACCAAGGCGACGAUCUUUAGCUGGUCUGAGAGGAUGAUCAGCCACACUGGGACUGAGACACGGCCCAGACUCCUACGGGAGGCAGCAGUGGGGAAUAUUGGACAAUGGGCGAAAGCCUGAUCCAGCAAUGCCGCGUGAGUGAUGAAGGCCUUAGGGUUGUAAAGCUCUUUUACCAGGGAUGAUAAUGACAGUACCGGGAGAAUAAGCUCCGGCUAACUCCGUGCCAGCAGCCGCGGUAAAGUGACUACU
rnacentral:rRNA from 1 species